AGGACGAACGCUGGCGGCGUGCUUAACACAUGCAAGUCGAGCGGAAAGGCCCUUCGGGGUACUCGAGCGGCGAACGGGUGAGUAACACGUGAGUAACCCGCCCUAGGCUUUGGGAUAACCCUCGGAAACGGGGGCUAAUACCAAAUAUUCACUUUCGACGGCAUCGUUGGGGGUGGAAAGUUUUUCGGUCUGGGAUGGGCUCGCGGCCUAUCAGCUUGUUGGUGGGGUGAUGGCCUACCAAGGCGACGACGGGUAGCC
rnacentral:rRNA from 1 species